ACUCUAAUAGUUUAUUAAAACAUUGGUCUUGUAAACCAAAGAUUGAAGAAUUAUUCUUCUUAGAGUA
rnacentral:tRNA from 1 species